rnacentral:lncRNA from 1 species
AUCACGAACUCUAAUGUGUGUGACUUCAUAGGUCUGAACCUAAGCUGAUAGUAUAGAAAUAAAUUUUUAUACCAAUCGAAGUGACCAUCUAGCAAUGGUACCCGACGAUCGGAUAGGUCGAAUGUGUAGAACAACAUCCUUAGAACCCAUGCAGAUAUAGUUUUCAUAUAAUUCAUCCCCUUGAUCAAAAUGAUCAUAGGACACC